UACGUAGGGUGCAAGCGUUAAUCGGAAUUACUGGGCGUAAAGCGCGCGCAGGUGGUUAUGCAAGACAGAGGUGAAAUCCCCGGGCUCAACCUGGGAACUGCCUUUGUGACUGCAUAGCUAGAGUACGGUAGAGGAGGAUGGAAUUCCGCGUGUAGCAGUGAAAUGCGUAGAUAUGCGGAGGAACACCGAUGGCGAAGGCAAUCCCCUGGGCUAGCACUGACGCUCAGGCACGAAAGCGUGGGGAGCAAACAGG
rnacentral:rRNA from 1 species